GGAUAAUUGCUUUAAUAAUUCUUCUAUAUCUCUCAGGCAGGGGUUUCUCAUUUAUCAAAAGAUGUUUUACUCCCUGAAACCCGGACAAGAGUGCUUCUCAAACGUAUACAAUCACUAAACCAAGUUCGUUAAAACAAGAGCUUUUGUAUGGUGAACGAAUAGAGACCAAACACAAAACAGAAUCAGUUACUGUCUAACCAGUUUGUCUUUUUUAAUCAUGGGAAUAACUGGAUGAAAAUUAAAAGGCAAAAAGAGAGAAAAUAAAUAAAGGUUGUCAAUAAACCAUAAUCCACCUUUUCCAACUUUGAGACUGCAGUAGCGAUGAAGCGGAUCCAUGUGAAAAUAAGCAAAUCAAGACAGGCAAGAUUAAUUUUCAGUCUAAGACCAGCGAGCUUCUAAUGUCAGCAUUCUAUAAUUUUCAUUUGAAACAAAUGGUUGAAACUUGACUUGAUGAAGAAGGAUCCCCAUAUCGUCUAGUUGAGCUCUCAACUUCAAUUUCUUUAAGAUAGUGCCUCCAACAUUUGAUUCGUCUUGAUUCACAGCAGACAGGAACAGU